UACGUAGGGUCCGAGCGUUGUCCGGAAUUAUUGGGCGUAAAGAGCUCGUAGGCGGCCUGUCGCGUCUGCUGUGAAAGUCCGGGGCUUAACUCCGGGUGUGCAGUGGAUACGGGCAGGCUUGAGGUAGGCAGGGGAGACUGGAAUUCCUGGUGUAGCGGUGAAAUGCGCAGAUAUCAGGAGGAACACCGGUGGCGAAGGCGGGUCUCUGGGCCUUACCUGACGCUGAGGAGCGAAAGCGUGGGGAGCGAACAGGAUUAGAUACCCUGGUAGU
rnacentral:rRNA from 1 species